rnacentral:snRNA from 1 species
AGAACUGUUAUCCCUCUCA